UGGGGAAUAUUGGGCAAUGGGGGAAACCCUGACCCAGCAACGCCGCGUGAAGGAAGAAGGUUUUCGGAUUGUAAACUUCUGUCGCAGGGGGAGAAAAAAAUGACGGUACCCUGUGAGGAAGCCCCGGCUAACUACGUGCCAGCAGCCGCGGUAAUACGUAGGGGGCGAGCGUUGUCCGGAAUUACUGGGCGUAAAGGGUGCGUAGGCGGUCUUUUAAGUUAGAUGUGAAAUACCCGGGCUCAACUUGGGGGGUGCAUCUAAAACUGGAGGACUUGAGUACAGGAGAGGAAAGUGGAAUUCCUAGUGUAGCGGUGAAAUGCGUAGAUAUUAGGAGGAACACCAGUGGCGAAGGCGGCUUUCUGGACUGUAACUGACGCUGAGGCACGAAAGCGUGGGGAGCAAACA
rnacentral:rRNA from 1 species